UCGGUGAUUAUGACUUCCAUGAUCAGUUGGCUAAGCGACAUAGUCGUGAAAUAAUUCAAUCUUGUCACUUAAUUUUAAAGACAAAGAAGAAAUAAAAUAAUAUUAUACACGCAAAAUUAUCAAGUGAUCAAACGAUGUCAAAAAGAAAAAAAAGGACGCAACGAUGUAAAUUUCAUUUUGCAACUUUGUCAUAACAUUAUCAUUCUUAUUGUGCACUAACACAAUUGCACAAUAUUUAUUGAAUUCCAAGAGCAAAAAUUGCACAUUGGAAAAUGUAGAUAAUAAUGAUCCAUGCUUGCUACCAUGCGACUGUGAAAGAGAUUCGAUACCUCGCGAUUUGACAGCUGUAGAUAUAACCCCUGGUGAAUUUUCUAUGGUUAACCUUGCAGGAAUAUAAAAAUGGAAACAAAACAAUACAUCACUGCACAGGAACUCUUAUUACAAACCGUUAUGUUCUAACUGCAGCUCAUUGCUUGAAUAACAUAAACUAUGG